UCAUGGCUCAGAUUGAACGCUGGCGGCAGGCCUAACACAUGCAAGUCGAGCGGUAGCACAAGAGAGCUUGCUCUCUGGGUGACGAGCGGCGGACGGGUGAGUAAUGUCUGGGAAACUGCCUGAUGGCGGGGGAUAACUAGUGGAAACGGUAGCUAAUACCGCAUAACGUCGCAAGACCAAAGUGGGGGACCUUCGGGCCUCACGCCAUCAGAUGUGCCCAGGUGGGAUUAGCUGGUAGGUGGGGUAACGGCUCACCUAGGCGACGAUCCCUAGCUGGUCUGAGAGGAUGACCAGCCACACUGGAACUGAGACACGGUCCAGACUCCUACGGGAGGCAGCAGUGGGGAAUAUUGCACAAUGGGCGCAAGCCUGAUGCAGCCAUGCCGCGUGUGUGAAGAAGGCCUUCGGGUUGUAAAGCACUUUCAGCGAGGAGGAAGGGUAAUGUGUUAAUAAGACAUUGC
rnacentral:rRNA from 1 species